GAGUCUUGCUCUGUCACCCAGGCUGGAGUACAAUUUCACAAAAUUAAAAUAAAAAUUUUUUUACAAGAAGGAUAGUUUGGUUUUGUUUCCUACAAUUAAUGCUUCAUCAAUCCAUGGCUUUUCAUAUUUAAGGUGGUAUUAACUUACAAAAUAAGGCAAAAGAACAAUCAGGUCUGAUUGCUCCCAAAGUCCUCUUAGCAAAUGAACUCAUGAUUUCCUUACCUCCAUCUUCAUGGCGAUCAUAACCAUGAGGGAAUCUCCCGCUUUCACUUUGUCUCCAGCUUUGACAAACACCUUGAGAUUCAGUGUGACAGGUUAAUAUUUGAAAACACAGAGAUCCUAGAUAAGUUAAUUUGCUUCAUUAUAGUAACCAUUUUUCUGUCUAUAUGUACUCAUAACACCAUGUUGCAAACCACGAAUAUACACAAUAAAACAUCAAUUAAAAGAAAAAAAACAACACAGAGGUCCUUUGUGGUCCAUAGAUUUGGUAUAUAAACUUAUAGAGCAGAAGUACAGUCCAUGUGGUUGUGCCAUCUGCCAAAUGCACUGGUCAAAUCAGAGACCUACAGCCCAAAUGCACUGGUCAAAUCAGAGGCCUACAGCCCAAAUGCACUGGUCAAAUCAGAGGCCUAC
rnacentral:antisense_RNA from 1 species